GAUGAACGCUGGCGGCGUGCCUAAUACAUGCAAGUCGAGCGAACAGACGAGGAGCUUGCUCCUCUGACGUUAGCGGCGGACGGGUGAGUAACACGUGGAUAACCUACCUAUAAGACUGGGAUAACUUCGGGAAACCGGAGCUAAUACCGGAUAAUAUAUUGAACCGCAUGGUUCAAUAGUGAAAGACGGUUUUGCUGUCACUUAUAGAUGGAUCCGCGCCGCAUUAGCUAGUUGGUAAGGUAACGGCUUACCAAGGCGACGAUGCGUAGCCGACCUGAGAGGGUGAUCGGCCACACUGGAACUGAGACACGGUCCAGACUCCUACGGGAGGCAGCAGUAGGGAAUCUUCCGCAAUGGGCGAAAGCCUGACGGAGCAACGCCGCGUGAGUGAUGAAGGUCUUCGGAUCGUAAAACUCUGUUAUUAGGGAAGAACAAAUGUGUAAGUAACUAUGCACGUCUUGACGGUACCUAAUCUGAAAGCCACGGCUAACUACGUG
rnacentral:rRNA from 1 species